rnacentral:rRNA from 1 species
GACAGAGGUGCCGAGCGUUAGGCGGAAUCACUGGGCUUAAAGCGUGUGCAGGCGGGCGAUCAAGUACCUUGUGAAAUCCCACGGCUCAACCGUGGAACCGCUGGGUAUACUGGUUGUCUUGAGCCGGCUAGGGGCGAGCGGAACAGACGGUGGAGCGGCGAAAUGCGUAGAUAUCGUCUGGAACGCCGAAGGUGAAAACAGCUCGCUGGGGCCGCGCUGACGCUGAGACACGAAAGCCAGGGGAGCGAACGGG